UACGUAGGGUGCGAGCGUUGUCCGGAAUUAUUGGGCGUAAAGGGCUCGUAGGCGGUCCAUCGCGUCGGGAGUGAAAAGCUGGGGCUUAACCCCAGUCCUGCUUUCGAUACGGGUGGACUAGAGGUAGGCAGGGGAGAAUGGAAUUCCUGGUGUAGCGGUGAAAUGCGCAGAUAUCAGGAGGAACACCAGUGGCGAAGGCGACUUCCUGGCCUGUUCUUGACGCUGAGGCGCGAAAGCUAGGGGAGCAAACGGG
rnacentral:rRNA from 1 species